CCCAAGUUGGGCCUCUGCGCGUUCCUCGAGCCAUCGUUCUUCCAGCGAAGAGCGGCGGUUAAGCCGGGCUGCUGUCAUCGCUCUUUCACCCCCGCCCAGCCUAGUGGAGCCGAGAUGUCUAUUGUGGCAGCUCCUAAAUAAUCUUCACGGCAUCGGAAGAGUGGCCUCCAGGUGCUCCCAGCUCAGGGAACCACUUCCAAAGUUGAACAGCCGACCAGAGACUUCUCUCCACAGAACCACCGCGGUAGCUUUCCUCUGUUCUCUGCUGGAGUGAGCUGCAGAAGCAAACGAACAUCGCUGCAGUGCCAGAGUCCAGAAGGACUCAGCUUGAUAACAGAACAGUUCUUUGGCAUACUAACUACAGUGCCAGCCACUCGGAGUGAGCCGUCAGCCGAUAUGGCUGAAUAAGCUAGAAUCUUCUUGGAUCUUUUCUCUGGCCCAUCCGUCCCGUAAUGCAGCCACUCGAGCAGGAUCCAUCUACACGAAUUGGGAAAGAAGGCCUGUUAAGGAGGAAACCAGUCUUCAGUGCAUCUUGCCAAGAUGGUGAAUUGAAAAUGAAAUCGACGCUUCAGCCCGAUGACCCUGUGUUUGAUGAAGCUCGCUCCCUUUGUGUUCCGUAGAGACUGUGAAGAGCCCCGGCGUCACUGCCGCAGUAGGGAAUCACCAGGAAAUAGUUAAAAAUGGGAUAAGGCCAACUGGAACUUUCUCCAUCUUUUGAAUCUCACUUAAGAGGAUUAAUGAGCCGGAGAUGGAAGCUUUUGUUGUAGGAACAGAGGCCACCACUAUUCCUGAAACCCUCCUACAAAGAUCUUUCUCUUCAGCCGUUGGAAAUUGUGCGGCCCCCGAACCUAAGGCACGUGACU